rnacentral:lncRNA from 10 species
UCUUGGAAAAAAACAAUGAUCUUCUUUACAGACAUCUGAAAGAAGUAAGUCUGACACUUAACUGUAUGUGUUUCUGAUUAUUUUGAAAUAUUACCCACAAUGUUAGGAGAGGGGGCUGAGAGCUUAGCAGGGGCAGGUCCACAGGGGAAGUAGAGAUUUCAUUCUGGUGUUAUGAGAAUAUACUGGGGUGACAUGAUCUGAGGACGAGGAAGCUGAGACCCAGACAGGUCACAGCUUGCACAAGGCCACAUCAUGAGGUGGGGGCUGGAGAUGGUAUUAGCCCCCAGGGCUGCCGACGGAAUUCCCAAUCUCUUUGCCUUUCCAUAUAUCUCAUCAAUCUGAGAAGUGUUGCUGCUGCUGCUG